GACGAACGCUGGCGGCGUGCCUAAUACAUGCAAGUAGAACGCUGAAGGAGGAGCUUGCUUCUCUGGAUGAGUUGCGAACGGGUGAGUAACGCAUAGGUAACCUGCCUGGUAGCGGGGGAUAACUAUUGGAAACGAUAGCUAAUACCGCAUAAGAGUAGAUGUCGCAUGACAUUUGCUUAAAAGGUGCAAUUGCAUCACUACCAGAUGGACCUGCGUUGUAUUAGCUAGUUGGUGAGGUAACGGCUCACCAAGGCAACGAUACAUAGCCGACCUGAGAGGGUGAUCGGCCACACUGGGACUGAGACACGGCCCAGACUCCUACGGGAGGCAGCAGUAGGGAAUCUUCGGCAAUGGACGGAAGUCUGACCGAGCAACGCCGCGUGAGUGAAGAAGGUUUUCGGAUCGUAAAGCUCGGUUGUAAGAGAAGAACGAGUGUGAGAGUGGAAAGUUCACAAUGUGACGGUAUCUUACCAGAAAGAGACGGCUAACUACGUG
rnacentral:rRNA from 1 species